GAAUCCGCCUGCGCGGCGGCGGUGCACGCGGGGAGAGCGAGCUCCGAAUCCUCCCAGAACCUCCGGACCGAUCAGAACCCUGACACCCGGAGCCCGCACUCCGGUUCUCUGAGACCGUUUAUCUAACAGCAGACGAGCCAUUGUUUUCCGUUAGGGAGGCUGUCUAAACAUCUUUUUGUUUUGCUUAGAGUUGUUACCCAGCAAAAAUAUUUCCUAAAUACCCCUGAUUGACCUGUUAAAUUAGAAAUAGAUUAGGUCCCAAUUACUUCCCAAGUAUUUGCUUAAUUAACCUUUAAUAAUCACAUCAUUAUUCAGUUUUCUGAGAUAAUUAGGGAGAAAAGCUGUUUGGAAACUAAAUUGCCUUGCAAAUGUUAAUUUUCAGAUUUCUAAGUCUGGAAAAUUUUCAUUAAAUUAAAAUUGUAAAAUGUGUAAUGCGACGUCCAAAAUGAGAUUCACAGUUAUCCCAAAGUUUGAAAAAUACGAGUUGUGGCUAAUUAACAGAUUGAUUUUUGUGUAUGGCUUCUGUGAAUUCUCAAUAAUUCAUCGGCCCACUGUGUAUGUCAAGUUUAUAUCAAAAAGUCUAAAAUGCUUUCUAUAAAAUAGGGGGACUGAAUCAUCGAUUUCUGGCUUGUGACUAAACCAUAAUUGUAGUCAAAGCCACCCCAAUAAACCGCUAGUAGAUGGAGGCCCAGAUUAAAGUUGCAGAUUCUGACACAGCACAGGAGACAGGGAAUAUCUGAGGUACACCCUUGCAUUGAGUCUUUGUUCCGAUGUUACCGACAUCGCAGACCUUCCCUUGAAUCCCCUGCUUUGUUCGGUAGGGCACAUCAAGGUAUUUUUAGGCGUCUUAUUUGUCAUCCUCCCAACAAGGUUUCAACAAAUGCCUUAGUCCACACCUAGAUGGUUAAUCACCAUACACUGAUGCUGUCUAAACUAUUUAUCUAGGAAGAGAUACUAGGCCUUGGGUGAAAUUUCACUUUUUUCAUCUAAGUAAAGUUAGAACAGGAGACCCAUGUUGAAGGAAUAGUGCACAAAGAAACUUUAGAGAAAAGAAAACAGAGCGGCCAUUGUAUGUCAGUAUGGAGAGCAGGCCAGAAAUAACGAGGCCAAAUAUUCACGUAAAAUUUAUUCUAAGUAUGUUUUGAUAUAAAAAUUAAGUGAAGAUUAAAGCCUACGACUAUAAAAUUCGGUAGGACUCAUCCCCUGUAGUAAGUAGGAUUGUUUUUCUCCACUCGAGAGGCAGUGUUGUUCAGUGUUUAAUUGCUGGCAGUAAUUAGAUUCUGCAGCGAUGGCCUGGCUGAAUCCUGGUGUCCACGGCUAGAAGAAAACCGGCCCCGACCACAGGAUCCCAGGUAGAGAAUGCUUCCUGGGGGCAGCAGCUUUCAACUGGGACUUGCCCGAGUCUUAAGAACAUGGUUUCCUUUGGCAAAGCCAUUAUUUUUACGUUUGCACGUUAACAUUCCACUACGUAAAAAUGGUUUUCUCCCAUUCUCUCCAAAGCCACCUGUUCUGGGGAGCUGUCUCUGAUUAAGCCUAAUUAAGAAGGAUGUGUGCGCCUCAAGGACGAAGCCUGCAUGAUAUUAAUUUUGCUUGUUACAUGUUGCGUGGUUCAUCGGAUAGUGGUAGUCCAACAAUCGCUGAACAGUUCAGUUCCACAAUUUAUUCAUUCAAUAAAUAGUAUUGAGGACCUGUUUGUACCAGCCGUUGUGCCAGAUGCUGGUAUAACAAGUUUUUGGUUCAUUCACGUAAUAUUUAUAAAGCACUCACUGUGUCUCAGGUCCUGCCCUGUGUAAGGGAACGCAGUGAUGAGCCAGAGAGACAAAUUCCUCAGUCUGGGGGGAAGAGAAAUGAAUACAACAACCAAGCUGUGUGAAGACGGCAAUGGUGAGGAAAGAUAAGGAGUGGGUUAAGAUCCAGUUUCCUGCUGAUGCACUGGAAGACAACAGAUGAUGACACAAGUACUUGGGUUCCAGCCACCCACGUAGAAGACCUGCAUGGAGUUCUUGGCUCCUGGUUUCAUCCUGGCCCAGCCCUAGCUGUUGUAAGCAUUUGGGGAGUGAGCCAGCAGAUAGAAAAGCGUUCUCUCUCUACCCUCCCCCUUCACUCUGCCUUUCUAAUCAUUAAAAAAAAUUACUCUCUUUGA